rnacentral:rRNA from 1 species
UACGAAGGGGGCUAGCGUUGUUCGGAAUCACUGGGCGUAAAGCGCACGUAGGCGGAUCUUUAAGUCAGGGGUGAAAUGCCAAGGCUCAACCUUGGAACUGCCUUUGAUACUGGGGAUCUUGAGUCCGGGAGAGGUGAGUGGAACUGCGAGUGUAGAGGUGAAAUUCGUAGAUAUUCGCAAGAACACCAGUGGCGAAGGCGGCUCACUGGCCCGGUACUGACGCUGAGGUGCGAAAGCGUGGGGAGCAAACAGG